CCUACGGGAGGCUGCAGUGGGGAAUAUUGGGCAAUGGGCGCAAGCCUGACCCAGCAACGCCGCGUGAAGGAAGAAGGCUUUCGGGUUGUUAACUUCUUUUGACAGGGAAGAGCAGAAGCCGGUACCUGUCGAAUAAGCCACGGCUAACUACGUGCCAGCAGCCGCGGUAAUACGUAGGUGGCAGGCGUUGUGCGGAUUUACUGGGUGUAACGGGCGUGUAGCCGGGCUGACAAGUCAGAUGUGAAAUCCGGGGGCUCAACCCCGAACUGCAGUUGAAACUGUUGGUCUUGAGUAUCGGAGAGGCAGGCGGAAUUCGUAGUGUAGCGGUGAAAUGCGUAGAUAUGAGGAGGAACACCAGUGGCGAAGGCGGCCUGCUGGACGACAACUGACGGUGAGGCGCGAAAGCGUGGGGAGCAAACAGGAUUAGAUACCCGUGUAGUC
rnacentral:rRNA from 1 species